AAAGCGGGCCGGAUCAUCGCUGCGCGCGCCGCAAUCCGGGGUAUGCGUCUCCCGCCAGAGGCGCGCUCCCGGUUUUUCCGGAACGCGGGGAGGAAAGUCCGGGCUCCGAAGGGCACGGCGCUGGGUAACGCCCAGGUGGAGCAAUCCACGGCAAGUGCAACAGAAAGCAAACCGCCCCGUUUCAAACGGGGUAAGGGUGAAAGGGUGGGGUAAGAGCCCACCGGCUGGAGCGGUGACGCGCCAGGCCAGGUAAACCCCGCCGGGAGCAAGACCAAAUAGGGAAGCGUUCGAGGCCGGCCCGGCCGAUGCUUCCGGGUAGGUCGCUUGAGGCCGCGGGCAAUCGCGGUCCCAGAGGAAUGAUGAUCACUCCUCCCUGAGGCCAACGGCCUUAAGGGAGGUGGACAGAACCCGGCUUACAGGCCCGCUUUCGUC
rnacentral:RNase_P_RNA from 1 species